GAUGAACGCUGGCGGCAUGCCUAAUACAUGCAAGUCGAACGAGAGACCUUCGGGUCUCUAGUGGCGAACGGGUGAGUAACACGUAGGGAACCUGCCCGCGCACCGGGAAUACGCUCUGGAAACGGAGAACAAAUCCCGAUGUACAGGAAGGAGGCAUCUUCUUUCUGUGAAACAUCCUUUCGGGGAUGGGGCGCGGAUGGACCUGCGGUGCAUUAGUUGGUUGGCGGGGUAAAGGCCCACCAAGACGAUGAUGCAUAGCCGGCCUGAGAGGGCGGACGGCCACAUUGGGACUGAGACACGGCCCAGACUCCUGCGGGAGGCAGCAGUAGGGAAUUUUCGUCAAUGGGCGCAAGCCUGAACGAGCGAUGCCGCGUGAGUGAAGAAGGCCUUCGGGUCGUAAAGCUCUGUUGCGGGGGAAAAAAGGCAGCAUCAGGAAA
rnacentral:rRNA from 1 species